rnacentral:tmRNA from 1 species
CCCCUUUCAAUGCUCGGACGAAGGGCCUAUAUUAAGCCCGUCGGUCGCACCGACUACGGCGAUAAACGCCUUGCGGAAUAAGCGUUGUGGACCCGGGGGCGGUACCCGGCGCCUCCACCAAACAAACCACCGUCCUCUCAGGUGUUGGCCUUUGGGAACGGGUUCGUUGGGGGCGAAAUAGGAUCGACACGCGUGGUAAAGGCAUGGUCUUCGCUCGGCAUGGUUCCGCCGUUAUCGGGCCAUUGCAAUAGUUGCCAACGACAACGUUGCUCCGGUCGCCGUUGCCGCCUAACAGCGGUAACUGACCGAAAUCAAUCCCCGAUGGGUAGCACCUGAGGGUGGGGCCGUGGGCCGCCUAGCAACAGAAGGCCCACACC